AGAAUGAACGCUGGCGGCAUGCCUAACACAUGCAAGUCGAACGAGACCUUCGGGUCUAGUGGCGCACGGGUGCGUAACGCGUGGGAAUCUGCCCUUGGGUUCGGAAUAACAGUGGGAAACUACUGCUAAUACCGGAUAAUGACGUAAGUCCAAAGAUUUAUCGCCCAGGGAUGAGCCCGCGUAAGAUUAGCUAGUUGGUGGGGUAAAGGCCUACCAAGGCGACGAUCUUUAGCUGGUCUGAGAGGAUGAUCAGCCACACUGGGACUGAGACACGGCCCAGACUCCUACGGGAGGCAGCAGUGGGGAAUAUUGGACAAUGGGCGAAAGCCUGAUCCAGCAAUGCCGCGUGAGUGAUGAAGGCCUUAGGGUUGUAAAGCUCUUUUACCCGGGAAGAUAAUGACUGUACCGGGAGAAUAAGCCCCGGCUAACUCCGUGCCAGCAGCCGC
rnacentral:rRNA from 1 species